GGGAGGCAGCAGUAGGGAAUCUUCCGCAAUGGACGAAAGUCUGACGGAGCAACGCCGCGUGAGUGAUGAAGGUUUUCGGAUCGUAAAGCUCUGUUGUUAGGGAAGAACAAGUACCGUUCGAAUAGGGCGGUACCUUGACGGUACCUAACCAGAAAGCCACGGCUAACUACGUGCCAGCAGCCGCGGUAAUA
rnacentral:rRNA from 1 species